CUCGCCGCCUCCAUUUUCUGAGGAGGAAAGUAUGAGUGGUUGCCGGUCCCGCGGCGGGGAAGGGGUGAGAGGCUGGGCCGGCACCUGCGCGGCGGCGCCGGGAGCGCCUGGGGCUCCCUGCGGCCCGGGAUGUGCCGUGCGGGGCUCCGGCCUGCCAGGUUGCCAUGGAGACGACCAUUUCUACUCGUCGCUUCUCACGUCGGCGGGCGAGGGCGCCGCCGCCUGCCGGGAGACAAAGGGAUGGGAGCGACGCCUCGAGGGGAGGACCCGUCCCCGUGCUGCGGCAGAACGCUGUCCCCGGCGCGCGGCCUGCGCUGGAUUCCCUGCGCGUGUCAUCAAAGAGCUCCGGCUCCAAGCGCAGACAGCAAGUACGUGUCCCUGAUGUGCAUGUGGCCGCUAAGGAAACACACAGCCCUGCAGACCCUCCCAGGGCUCCCCACUGAUUUGCCUUGCCAAGGUGAUACUUGUGGUGCAACAGCUGCACUCUUUCACACGCCAGCUGUUUAGCAACUGACCUGAUUGAAAAUCCCUUCUAAUUUGACUCCUGUACUGUAAUGGGAAGAAGAGGAAGAACAGAAAAUGCAACAAUCUGGAUCUUUCCUUUCAGUGCUCCGGUUUCUACUCAGAACAUUACAUGUAAGAUUGUGGGAGGGACAGAAAAAGUACUACAUUGGCAAAAAUAGUUGCCUCUCAUAACAGUACCCUGUGUUACGCAUUCUUGACCCUGCGUGAACUCUUUUACUCAUUUCCUUUUUCUACUUUGUAUGCUAUCGCCUUGUUCCUCUACUUAACCUUUUACUAUCAGCUUCACAUCAGUAAUCUCCCAGUGGAAGAGUUCCUCAAUAAAGGUUCUCUUAAAACUCA